rfam:Xenopus laevis strain J chromosome 3L, whole genome shotgun sequence.
UUGGGGUGAGGUAGUAGGUUGUUUAGUUGUGGGUUGCACCCCGACGUUUGGAUAACUAUACAAUCUACUGUCUUUCCUGA